CGCCGUCGCUUCGCACUUGGCUUCGGCUUGGAUUGGUUGAUGUCGUUUCGUUAGUUUAGUUCGGUAACUCGUCGGUCGCGCAAGCAACAACAGCUACAGCUACGGCAGACGGCUGAAAGCUGAAGCUGAAGCUAAACCAAACGCAAAACCAAUGCCAAAUGCCAAAAGCGGGCGGCAAAGCUAAGAAAAAUUACGAAAAAUUUCCUGUGCGCCGCAGAAAUAAAUUAAAUAGGAGCCGGCAAAUAUCUAAAAUGAAAUCAUUAUUCAAAUUUCAAAGUAUUUCCCGCAAGUGAGUGAGCAAAAACACACACAAAAUACGAGAAGAAGAAGAGCGACAUAAUUAAUCGUUUUAAUAUGAAAAUUUGAAUUCAAAAAUCUACAAAAGCCACAACAACAAGAGGAAGAGCCAUAAAACAACCGAGUUCCAAUUGGGAAAACGAAUAAGACGAAACAAAUUUGUUUUGACAGAAGAAGCACAAUAAUAAUUACAUUAUUAACAACAAC